CCUACGGGAGGCAGCAGUGGGGAAUAUUGCACAAUGGGGGAAACCCUGAUGUAGCGACGCCGCGUGAGUGAAGAAGUAUUUCGGUACGUAAAGCUCUAUCAGCAGGGAAGAAAAUGACGGUACCUGACUAAGAAGCCCCGGCUAACUACGUGCCAGCAGCCGCGGUAAUACGUAGGGGGCAAGCGUUAUCCGGAUUUACUGGGUGUAAAGGGAGCGUAGACGGCAGCGCAAGUCUGGAGUGAAAUCCCAUGGCUUAACCAUGGAACUGCUUUGGAAACUGUGCAGCUAGAGUGCAGGAGAGGUAAGCGGAAUUCCUAGUGUAGCGGUGAAAUGCGUAGAUAUUAGGAGGAACACCAGUGGCGAAGGCGGCUUACUGGACUGUAACUGACGUUGAGGCUCGAAAGCGUGGGGAGCAAACAGGAUUAGAUACCCGGGUAGUC
rnacentral:rRNA from 1 species